UACGUAGGGGGCAAGCGUUGUCCGGAAUUAUUGGGCGUAAAGGGAGUCUAGGCGGUCAGGUAAGUGGAAUGUGAAAUCCCUCGGCUCACCCGAGGACCUGCAUCCCAAACUGCCUGGCUUGAGUAUGGGAGAGGAUGAGGGAAUUCCUGGUGUAGCGGUGAAAUGCGUAGAGAUGUGGAGGAACACCGAUGGCGAAGGCAGCCUUCUGGGCCAACACUGACGCUCAUGCACGAAAGCGUGGGGAGCAAACAGG
rnacentral:rRNA from 1 species